UACGUAGGGUGCAAGCGUUGUCCGGAAUUAUUGGGCGUAAAGAGCUCGUAGGCGGUUCGUCGCGUCGGCUGUGAAAACCCGGAGCUCAACUCCGGGCCUGCAGUCGAUACGGGCGGACUUGAGUGUUGCAGGGGAGACUGGAACUCCUGGUGUAGCGGUGAAAUGCGCAGAUAUCAGGAGGAACACCGGUGGCGAAGGCGGGUCUCUGGGCAACUACUGACGCUGAGGAGCGAAAGCGUGGGGAGCGAACAGG
rnacentral:rRNA from 1 species